GCGCUUCGUGGAGCGGUCGAUUCCUCAUCACCAGACCAGGUUCUCCCGCGAGGUGGUUUCGGCUAUGGCACGAUGCAUAGAUGCCUUCCGGAGCCAACUCGUCUGGAUGAGGAACGCGGCUACCUGUCUUCGAGGCGACGCUGUCCGAGAGGGUUAGCCGAUUGCUUCUCACACCCGUACGAGGCCUGAGGGGCGGAGA